AACCCUCCCUAAGCUCAUUUAAGGGUUGGCAGCCUUAGAGAUCACCUGCUUUUGAGAGUUUCCAGGGAGCCCUGAGCCUCAGAAAAGCAAAGAGAGCCACAUUGUGGUGUUUGGGGAGAGAAGGAAUCCAGAGAAUGGUGUUUGAUUCCUGUGAUUCUCAGCAGCCUCCCAUUGCGGGAGGUUGCUAACCGAGCAGAGGGGAAAAAGAGAAGGGAGCCCUGGCAGCUUCAGGCAGUGCACUGAGGUAGAAUUGAGCAAGGACUUAAAAUGGAAAGCAAGAGCAUCCAGUAGCUGGUGACGCGUGGCUUGGAUCAGUAUUCAAACCACUGAGGGAAGCACAAGCAAGGUGUAGAAGUAUUCAUGGCAUGCUAGGAAGAGCUCCUGGUUGUCUGGAGUGCUCAUCUUGAGCUGCCAGGAGCACAAUGAACGUGUGCAGGGCAACAGUGCCAUCUUAUAUAACGUGUCCGUGGAAGGAGGAGUGUGUCAAACUGCUUUAAUCUGUAUGAACAAGUGGUAGUGACUCCUGUAAUGGGGGCUGAAACAAAAUUAAUCUCAAGUGUAAUGUGUUAAGAGCUUGGUUUUAUGAGCCAUUUCUAGAACUAGACAACAUCAAACAAAAAUACUUGGCACAAUUGUUUUAUGGUGGACAGUCCCAAGAAGCGAUAGGAAUUGAGCUGUGAAAGCAGAGUUAAAGAACAUUCCAAUUAGCCUGGGUGAGAAAGGCAGCAUUAACUCUGGGUGUGUUUUGUGUGGUAUUUUCAGAACUAUUUCUCAUUUUAAAUACUUCAUGUAUCUGUUCCAUUGCUAUCUCAUGUAAAUCCUUUUUGCCACAGGGUUGGUGUGGUUAUACAUCAUAACCGUUUGUGGAGCUGGGAUGGGAGAAAUCGAAAACUAGAUUUAUGACAAAAAUGCAUGGUGAUGGC
ensembl:lncRNA